CUACGGGUUGCACCAGUGGGGAAUAUUGCACAAUGGAGGAAACUCUGAUGCAGCAACGCCGCGUGGAGGAUGACACUUUUCGGAGCGUAAACUCCUUUUAUAUAGGAAGAAGAUGACGGUACUAUAUGAAUAAGCGCCGGCUAACUCCGUGCCAGCAGCCGCGGUAAUACGGAGGGCGCAAGCGUUACUCGGAAUCACUGGGCGUAAAGAGCGUGUAGGCGGAUUAAAAAGUCAGAAGUGAAAUCCUAUAGCUUAACUAUAGAACUGCUUCUGAAACUCUUAAUCUAGAAUAUGGGAGAGGUAGAUGGAAUUUCUGGUGUAGGGGUAAAAUCCGUAGAGAUCAGAAGGAAUACCGAUUGCGAAGGCGAUCUACUAGAACAUUAUUGACGCUGAGACGCGAAAGCGUGGGGAGCAAACAGGAUUAGAUACCCCAGUAGUC
rnacentral:rRNA from 1 species